UACAUUUCCUGUUAUUGAAGUUUUCGAUAACACUCUUCCGUCUACGCAAGACAAGAGUAAUCUCUCUUCUUGUGAAAAGAAUAAUUCAUAUGAUUUAUUGGCUAUUUUGAAAUCAUCAACAUGU
rnacentral:lncRNA from 13 species